UACGUAGGGUGCGAGCGUUAAUCGGAAUACUGGGCGUAAAGCGUGCGCAGGCGGUGAUGUAAGACAGUUGUGAAAUCCCCGGGCUCAACCUGGGAACUGCAUCUGUGACUGCAUCGCUGGAGUGCGGCAGAGGGGGAUGGAAUUCCGCGUGUAGCAGUGAAAUGCGUAGAUAUGCGGAGGAACACCGAUGGCGAAGGCAGCCCCCCUGGGCUAACACUGACGCUCAUGCACGAAAGCGUGGGGAGCAAACAGG
rnacentral:rRNA from 1 species